CAGGAGCGUAUACUAAUGUUGCUGUUCUUAAGAAAGCUCGUAGCUCAUUCUCUUUAUGACAGUUUGGUGUUCUUUGUUUCCACAUUCUUUAUUGAGUGUAGGAGGACUGUAUACACCUUUUAUCUGUUGUAAAUUCAUUUUAUUGUACUUUUUGUACAGUAAAUCUUUCACUGAAACUAAAAAUGAAGUGCUCAAAAAAGCCCGAAAAGGGAAAUUGAACAAUUCAGUUUGGAAUGAAACGAUAGGUGUUGCAGUGUGUUGACGUCAAGUUUAUCUUACUCUGCAACAAAUAAUCUCUAGGAACGAUUGGGGGUGCUUGUACUUGCAGGACAAAGGUGAAAUUUUCGGACCCUGCAAAGACAAACUGAAGCGAAAGCUUUCACCAAGAGCGUAUCCUCUGGUCAAGAACGAAAGUUGUGGGAGUCGAAGACGAUCAGAUACCGU
rnacentral:rRNA from 1 species